GGAAGUAAAAGUCGUAACAAGGUCUCCGUUGGUGAACCAGCGGAGGGAUCAUUACUGAGUACUACACUCUCUACCCUUUGUGAACUAUUAUACCUGUUGCUUCGGCGGCGCCCGCAAGGGUGCCCGCCGGUCUCAUCAGAAUCUCUGUUUUCGAACCCGACGAUACUUCUGAGUGUUCUUAGCGAACUGUCAAAACUUUUAACAACGGAUCUCUUGGCUCCAGCAUCGAUGAAGAACGCAGCGAAACGCGAUAUGUAAUGUGAAUUGCAGAAUUCAGUGAAUCAUCGAAUCUUUGAACGCACAUGGCGCCUUCCAGUAUCCUGGGAGGCAUGCCUGUCCGAGCGUCGUUUCAACCCUCGAGCCCCUGUGGCCCGGCGUUGGGGAUCUGCCACGGCAGGCCCCUAAAACCAGUGGCGGACCCGAAGGCCCUCUCCUUUGCGCAGUAGCAUCAGCCUCGCAUUGGGAUCCCUCGGCGUCCUGCCUCUAAACCCCCCACAAGUCCGCUCCGGCGGCACCAAGGUUGACCUCGGAUCAGGUAGGAAUACCCGCUGAACUUAAGCAUAUCAAUAAGCGGAGG
rnacentral:rRNA from 1 species